rnacentral:pre_miRNA from 8 species
GCUCUGGAUGGGUGGCGGGGUGGGGGCCCCCGUCUUACCCAGCAGUGUUUGGGUGCUGGUUGGGAGUCUCUAAUACUGCCGGGUAAUGAUGGAGGCCCCUGUCUCAGUGCCAGCGACGUCCAC